GGUUAAGCGACUAAGCGUACACGGUGGAUGCCCUGGCAGUCAGAGGCGAUGAAGGGCGUGCUAAUCUGCGAUAAGCGCCGGUAAGGUGAUAUGAACCGUUAUAACCGGCGAUACCCGAAUGGGGAAACCCAGUGUGAUUCGUCACACUAUC
rnacentral:rRNA from 1 species